rnacentral:rRNA from 1 species
GACGAACGCUGGCGGCGUGCUUAACACAUGCAAGUCGAACGGAAAGGCCCUGCUUUUGUGGGGUGCUCGAGUGGCGAACGGGUGAGUAACACGUGAGUAACCUGCCCUUGACUUUGGGAUAACUUCAGGAAACUGGGGCUAAUACCGGAUAGGAGCUCCUGCUGCAUGGUGGGGGUUGGAAAGUUUCGGCGGUUGGGGAUGGACUCGCGGCUUAUCAGCUUGUUGGUGGGGUAGUGGCUUACCAAGGCUUUGACGGGUAGCCGGCCUGAGAGGGUGACCGGCCACAUUGGGACUGAGAUACGGCCCCGACUCCUACGGGAGGCAGCAGUGGGGAAUAUUGCACAAUGGGCGGAAGCCUGAUGCAGCAACGCCGCGUGCGGGAUGACGGCCUUCGGGUUGUAAACCGCUUUCGCCUGUGACGAAGCGUGAGUGACGGUAAUGGGUAAAGAAGCACCGGCUAACUACGUG